GGUUCGAUUAUGGCUCAGAUUGAACGCUGGCGGGAUGCUUUAUACAUGCAAGUCGAACGGCAGCACGGACUUCGGUCUGGUGGCGAGUGCGAACGGGUGAGUAAUGUAUCGGAACGUGCCUAGUAGCGGGGAUAACUACGCGAAAGCGUAGCUAAUACCGCACAUACGCCCUUCGGGGAAAGCGGGGGACCUUCGGCCUCGCACUAUUAGAGCGGCCGAUAUCGAUUAGCUUAGUUGGUGGGGUAACGGCUCACACUCAAGGCGACGAUCCGUAGCUGGUUUGAGAGGACGACCAGCCACACUGGGACUGAGACACGGCCCAGACUCCUACGGGAGGCAGCAGUGGGGAAUUUUGGACAAGCGGGGAAACCCUGAUCCAGCCAUCCUGCGUGUGCGAUGAAGGCCUUCGGGUUGUAAAGACCUCUUUGGCAGGAAGAAACGGCACGGGAUAAUACCCCGUGCAACUGACGGUACCUGCAGAAUAAGCACCGGCUAACCACGCCAGCAGCCGCGGUAAUACGAGGGGUGCAAGCGUUAAUCGGAAUUACUGGGCGUAAAUGUGCGCAGGCGGUUCGGAAAGAAAGAUGUGAAAUCCCAGAGCUUAACUUUGGAACUGCAUUUUUAACUACCGAGCUAGAGUGUGUCAGAGGGAGGUGGAAUUCGCGUGUAGCAGUGAAAUGCGUAGGAUAUGCGGAGGAGGAACACCGAUGGCGAAGGCAGCCUCCUGGGAUAACACUGACGCUCAUGCACGAAAGCGUGGGGAGCAAAUGAUUAGAUACCCUGGUAGUCCACGCUCCUAAAACGAUGUCAACUAGCCGUUGGGGCUUCGGGUCGGUAGCGCAGUAGCCAACGCGUGAAGCGACCGCCUGGGGAGUACGGUCGCAAGAUUAAAACUCAAAGGAAUUGACGGGGACCCGCACAAGCGGUGGAUGAUGAUUAAUCUGAUGCAACGCGAAAACCUUACCUACCCUUGACAUGUCUGAAUCCCGAAGAGAUUUGGGAGUGCUCGCAAAGAGAACCGGAACACAGGUGCUGCAUGGCUGUCGUCAGCUCGUGUCGAGAUGUUGGGUUAAGUCCCGCAACGAGCGCAACCCUUGUCAUUAGUUGCUACGAAAGGGCACUCUAAUGAGACUGCCGGUGACAAACCGGAGGAAGGUGGGGAUGACGUCAAGUCCUCAUGGCCCUUAUGGGUAGGGCUUCACACGUCAUACAAUGGUCGGGACAGAGGGUCGCCAACCCGCGAGGGGGAGCCAAUCCCAGAAACCCGAUCAGUCCGGAUCGCAGUCUGCAACUCGACUGCGUGAAGUCGGAAUCGCUAGUAAUCGCGGAUCAGCAUGUCGCGGUGAAUACGUUCCCGGGUCUUGUACACACCGCCCGUCACACUAAGCGGGAGUGGGUUUUACCAGAAGUAGUUAGCCUAACCGUAAGGAGGGCGAUUACCACGGUAGGAUUCAUGACUGGGGUGAAGUCGUAACAAGGUAA
rnacentral:rRNA from 1 species